rnacentral:lncRNA from 1 species
AGGGUCACAGGCAGUGUUGUCAUAAUCACUCUCCGGGGUGCUGUUCUGCUUCUCCAGUCUGGAGGCCUAAAAGGAGAAGGGGCCCAUUAGUGUUGAGCAUCCCUCCGCCCGCCAGGCUCUGUCACCUUCAUACCCAGAGCGCAUUUGGUACAGGAACCAGCCCUUUACUGGAAAUCUAGUAAAGAGGAGUGAGUAGUAGGUCCAAAAGUGCCUUUUCGACUUCUGCGCCAUGUCUUCUUAAUUCACUAACAAGUCCUAAACAGACCCCGGUGCCUCCCACAGUCUGACAGCCACACGCGCACACACAUGCACACCCGUGCCGUGCAGUCAGUAACAAACACACUUAUCUGAACACACACUUCAGAGCUGGACUUAGCAGGCUCUAAUUGCCUGGUUUCACAGCAGAAGAGAGCAGGACCAGGAUAAGCUAGCUGCCCACCUUCAGGCACAGUCUGCGAAAGGAGAGGACAGGAGCCCUCUGCGGGUCCCUCCAUUACUACAUGUUUGGGAAGCCUGCACUGCUCCUGCUAAAACCUGACCCAAGGGAGGGUUUUCAUGAGCUCUCAAGGAAGCCUUGCUGCCUGUGAGCCCCCAUGCUGCUGCCUGUGAACUACACGGAUUAACCCUGGAAGAGCCUUAGUUCCAAACCACUUUACUCGUUUUCCAAAAUAUUGAUCUCUGAAAAUACAGAGAUUAGGUCUAACUGUGGAGGUUACAAUGAGCUUUAUCGGGACUGGCAGCAGCACUAGAGGUGGGGUCUGUCAGUGUGAGGGGGUGUGGCGCGGAUGGCAUCCUCUGGAGGAGCCUGGUCUGGAGCGUGUGAAGAAACCUCUCUCGUUGUUCAUCUUACGGUGUGACAAUCCCUCACCUGGAUGGCAGCAUAAGCCGAUGAGCAAUCUAAACUGAUUACUGAUUAGCUAUUUCCAGCCGUGUAGCCAGCAUUCAAGCCAUGGUUAUUAAAGUACACGGGUAGGUAGUUUAACUGAUGCAGGGAAAGGUGGCAAAGGCUGCGACUGUAGAGGCUUUGCUAAGUCACAUGAGAUGUGCAGCCUUAUCCAGAAAAAUGGCUGCUAGAGGAAGUCGGUGGGGCAGUCUGCACGAGCCUGGGGUUCAGCCGGCUGAGGAGUGGCGUCUUGAGACCUGCUCCACUUUGCUCCCCCUCCUCCCGAGGCCCUCACAUUGUCCCCUGGACAUCCUCUUUCCCACUCUAUGGACGAUACUGAGCACUGGGGCUGGCUUCCUAAGUUCCACCAUGACCCUUUCCACACACUGCACUUCACCCAGCAGGUGGUAAGUGCUGGCUAGCGGCUUUAUGAGGUUAUCAAGCGAAGAAGUUUGUAACUUCCUGCUCUGUGGCUAAGUCAGCGGGUAACUGACACUAGAGAGAGGGGACACGGUAUUUGUGCAGGGGCAGAGAGCAGGGUCUGGUGGUCCUGAGCUCAGAAAUCUGCCCCCCUAAGACCUUUCCUACCUGUAAAGGAAUGUCUGACUAAUCUUUACUUAAAAAAACAAAAAAAACAAAAAAACCCUGAUUUCAGACAUAUACACGCGCGCGCGCACACACACACACACACACACACAAACUGAAUUUUAAUUAUGCUGGACAGUUCAUUCAUUGAAACUGCUCCAGUGGGGAGAGAAAUCUAGAAGACAGUGCUAACACCCUCCAUAGCUUACAUUUUGGGUUUUGAGACAGUGUUGCUAAUGUAGGCCAGGUUUAUCUUAAAUUUGCAAUCUUUUGCCUCCUGGAAUCCUGUAUCUCUCUAAGGGAUGCUGCUGCCUCCCCUGAUGUCACGGUGACAGUUGGAGAUUGAAUACAUUACCCAGAGUGAUCAGAAGUGCCAGGGUCUGUUUGAGGAUCUCAGAAGAGUGACACACCUCCACUAACAGCGUUCAGGAAACGCUCCUCAAGUACAGCGCACAAGUACUGACGGACUAAGUCCUCCUCCGUCAAAGUGCACAGCACUUCAAUGAGCCGGCAUUUAAGUUUAUGGAAGUUACAGUGAGCAUGCAGAGCCAGGAGUGUUAAAGCUGUUAACACGAGUGUUACCUUGUAGCUGCUCUUACUUCUCUGCACAGACAAACCCCAGAAACCUAAGCCAGGACAAAGCUGCCAGGAGGAGCUCAGAGGACCCUGGAUGACGUCACUGCUCACUGUGACAGAAUCACUUCAGUGACUGGUCCCUUUCAAAGCUACCACACUACAAAUCAAAAAAACUACAAAAUUGUAUGAUAAGACCAGCCUACCUGACUCUCAACAUCAUUAUUAUCAAACUGCGGGAUUUCCUUAUUUCUUUGCUCUUCCGUAACUACCAUUUGGAACAAAGACUACAGUGCCCUUCCAGGGCUGCUCAGAACACCAGAAGUGCCAAGCUUCAAGAAGUCCUCUGACUUCACAAGGGCUGUAAGGAAACUCAGAGUGACCUGGUGAGCCAGUGGCCCCGGCAGUGCACAGGGUCCUCUUCCCCACACGGGGGCUUGCUGGGGAAGGUGGUGUCUUGCUUGCAGUUCCCUACUUUUUUUCACCCUUGCUACAGACAGACCGAGCUAGGAGCCGAAGGGCAGGCCUCUAACACUAGGGCUUGCCCCAGUCUCCCACAAGAGGAAAGCAGCAUGCUCUCUGUGCACAUGAAAAGAGUUUUCUUCUUACACAAUGUCUGUUUGGGAACAGGGACGAUGUCACUUAAAUCUUUUGCACCCUUUAGCUGCCUUUCUUAAAGGUGGGUGUGAGGGAGUCCACUGGCGUGAGUCACACACCAGCAGAAGGGUCCGGCCUACCAUUCCAAGUGGACAGCUUUAAGCCUGUAGCCACCUCUCCUCUGCAUGACAGUACCAACUGAGGUGGGGCUUGUCAGCGGUGAUGGUGCUAAUAAAAAGUAAGUCAGCAGUUAGAAGAAAAAAGCUAAGAUACUUUUGCGCUAACCCAAAUAUACUUUUAAUUUCAUAACUGUAUCUCAAAAACCCUGGGUGGACUGCCCUGCUCUCUGUGACCAGUAGCCAGCUCAAGUUCAGUUAGCUUAACACGACAGUGCUCGGAAGAUGUGCUCUAGGUGAUCUGGGAGGUGGUUAGACAGGUGAGAGAGGCAGCGUGGAAGGCGCACAGCGUGGAGGCCCAGAGGAAGGCCAGCUCUCUCCAGGCCGGAUGUGCACGGCUGCAUGUGCCUGCUGCUAUGAGAACCCAGGAGCAAAGCUGCUUCAUGCAGGACAGAGGGCAGUUAGGAAGGGGCGGGGGCACAAAGCCAAGGGGUGCUGGCCCUCCUCCAGGGCAGACCAGUCAGAGUGUACUUAACCCUUCGGGCGCUUUCGUCCCUGGACCAGGAAAGUGUGGAGGGGAAGGAGGGCAGAGACGAAGAGGAGGUCACAAGUGCAC